CAAUCGGUUUUUUUUCCAAAACCACUGAAUUGUAUAUAUAUAUAUAUAU
rfam:Heligmosomoides polygyrus genome assembly, scaffold: HPBE_scaffold0002340